rnacentral:rRNA from 1 species
CGCGUAGGAAUCUGCCCCGAACUGGGAAAUACCCAGCCGAAAGGUUGGCUAAUGUCCCAUAGUUCCGCCUCUGGCGGAUAAAGGCGUAAGCCGGUUUGGGAGGAUCCUGCGUCCUAUCAGCUUGUUGGUGGGGUAACGGCCUACCAAGGCAGUGACGGGUAGCUGGUCUGAGAGGACGGCCAGCCACAAUGGGACUGAGACACGGCCCAUACACCUACGGGUGGCAGCAGUUGGGAAUUGUUCACAAUGCGCGAAAGCGUGAUGACGCAAUGCCGCGUGGAGGAAGACGGCCUUCGGGUUGUAAACUUCUUUUAUGUGGGACGAUUAUGACGGUACCACAUGAAUAAGGACCUGCUAACUACGUGCCAGCAGCCGCGGUAAUACGUAGGGUCCGAGCGUUAUCCGGUAUUAUUGGGCGUAAAGAGUACGUAGGCGGUCUUUCAAGACAAUGGUUAAAUCUCCGGGCUUAACCCGGAACCAGCCGUUGUGACUGUUAGACUAGUCGAUAGCAGGGGCAAGCGGAAUUCUCGGUGUAGGAGUGAAAUCCGUUGAGAUCGAGAAGAACACCAAUGGCGAAGGCAGCUUGCUAGGCUAUAUGAGACGCUGAGGUACGAAAGCGUGGGGAGCGAACGGGAUUAGAUACCCCGGUAGUCCACGCCGUAAACGAUGCACACUAGCUAUCAGAAGUAUCGACCCUUCUUG